rnacentral:rRNA from 1 species
CCUACGGGGGGCUGCAGUGGGGAAUUUUGGACAAUGGGGGCAACCCUGAUCCAGCCAUGCCGCGUGAGUGAAGAAGGCCUUCGGGUUGUAAAGCUCUUUCGGCCGGGAAGAAAUCGCUCAAGCUAAUACCUUGGGUGGAUGACGGUACCGGAAGAAGAAGCACCGGCUAACUACGUGCCAGCAGCCGCGGUAAUACGUAGGGUGCGAGCGUUACUCGGAAUUACUGGGCGUGGCGCGUGAAGAGGGAGCUGAAAUCCCCGGGCUUAACCUGGGAACUGCGUUUGUGACUGGGGUGCGCGAGUGCGGCAGAGGGGGGUGGAAUUCCACGUGUAGCAGUGAAAUGCGUAGAGAUGUGGAGGAACACCGAUGGCGAAGGCAGCCCCCUGGGUCGACACUGACGCUCAUGCACGAAAGCGUGGGGAGCAAACAGGAUUAGAUACCCCAGUAGUC